rnacentral:rRNA from 1 species
UACGAAGGGGGCUAGCGUUGUUCGGAAUUACUGGGCGUAAAGCGCACGUAGGCGGACAUUUUAAGUCAGGGGUGAAAUCCCAGAGCUCAACUCUGGAACUGCCUUUUGAUACUGGGUGUCUUGAGUAUGGAAGAGGUGAGUGGAAUUCCGAGUGUAGAGGUGAAAUUCGUAGAUAUUCGGAGGAACACCAGUGGCGAAGGCGGCUCACUGGUCCAUUACUGACGCUGAGACGCGAAAGCGUGGGGUAGCAAAACAGG